ACUCAAAUGAAUAGACGGGCACCCGCACAAGCGGUGGAGCAUGCUGUUUAAUUCGAAAAUACGCGAAAAACCUUACCUAGAUUUGACAUCCCGGGCAAAGCUAUAGAAAUAUAGUGGAGGCUAUCCCGGUGACAGAUGGUGCAUGGUUGUCGUCAGCUCGUGUCGUGAGAUGUUUGGUUAAGUCCAACAACGAGCGCAACCCCUAUUUUCAGUUGUUAACAUUUAGUUGAACCCUCUGGAAAUACUGCCGGUGCAAGCCGGAGGAAGGUGGGGAUGAGGUCAAAUCAUCAUGCCUCUUACAUCUAGGGCUACAGGCGUGCUACAAUGGCUGGUACAACGAGUCGCAAUACGGUGACGUAAAGCAAAUCUCUUAAAGCCAGUCCCAGUUCGGAUUGGAGUCUGCAACUCGACUCCAUGAAGUUGGAAUCGCUAGUAAUCCCGAAUCAGAAUGUCGGGGUGAAUACGUUCUCGGGUGUUGCACACACCGCCCGU
rnacentral:rRNA from 1 species